AACCAAGGCUAAUAUAUUAUGAUAGAAGUUGUAUCAGAAUUCUUGCUGCAUUUUCUUACAUCUGCAUCUUUACUCUGCUAAUGAAGAGGAGGAUUUGAAGCAGCUAGAGAAGAGGCUCUGUGUAACUUGUUGUCUUUAGCUCCAAGUUUUGUUUUUUCCAGACAGAGUGCUCUUACAAGUUUCGUAUCCAAUCUGACUCCAAGCUUUUGGAGAGGCAAUAGCCAUAUAAAGCCUCUGGAGUUGACCCCACACCAACACAAACAACAGAAAUUGAGAGAGUGCCACAAAACAGAAGACAACAUGGAGAGAUGUGGACAUGGCCCAUACCGUCCAUCCUCAUGUAACAAAAGAUGCCUUGUUCCAAUAUGCCAUGUCCCGACCAUGCACGUUGACAAUUACAAAGCAAGCAGGCAUGCAACAAAGAAAGCACACCAGGCUCCUUUGCAUCAAAAGGAAGUGGAAACAGCAAAAAUGCAAAUGACUUGAUAUUUUCCCCCCUUUCUUGCAUAAUAUA
rnacentral:lncRNA from 1 species